GACUGCGGUCGGGUGUGCCGAGGCCGAUCAGUGGCUUUGCCCUUCGGGGAGCUGCCCUGACAGGGUACCAGCGAAAAACCGGUCCCAUCUGCCCGUCUUGGUAACACGGACCAAGGAGUCUAGCAAGUGCGCGAGUCRGUGGGUGGUAAACCCAUGAGGCGAAAUGAAAGUAAAAGGUGGGACGGCGCAAGCCGGCACCAUCGGCCAACCAUGAGCUUUUGUGAAAGGUUUGAGCAUGAGCGCAGCCGCUAGGACCCGAAAGAUGGUGAACUAUGCCUGUGCACGACGAAGCCGGCGGAAACGCCGGUGGAGGUCGGUAGAUGUGCUGACGUGCAAAUCGCUUUUCUGACAUGGGUAUAGGGGCGAAAGACUAAUCGAACCAUCUAGUAGCUGGUUUCCUCCGAAGUUUCCCCCAGGAAAGCAGGGACUUAUUCGCGGUUUUGUGCGGUAGAGCCAAUGAUUAGCGGUUACGGGGAUGAAACAUCCUCGGCCGAUUCUCAAACUGCGUACGUGCAAGACGCCCCCGUCGCUUGAUUGGACGGGGGCACAGAACGCGAGUCCCUAGUGGGCCAUUUUUGGUAAGCAGAACUGGCGAUGCGGGAUGAUCCGAAAGCCGGGUUAAGGCGCCUAAGUGCCCGCUAACCCAGACCCCACAAAGGGUGUUGGCUGAUCCAGACAGCAGGAAGGUGGUCAUGGAAGUCGAAACCCUCCAAGGAGUGUGUAACAACUCACCUGCCGAAUCAGCUAGCCCCGAAAAUGGAUGGCGCUGAAGCGGGCGGCCUAUACCCGGCCAUUGGGGCAAGGCGUAGGCCCCAAUGAGUAGGAGGACGCAGGGGUUGCUGCGAAGCCUUGGGCGCAAGCCCGGGUGAAGCGGCCUCUGGUGCAGAUCUUGGUGGUAGUAGCAAAUAUUCAAAUGAGAACUUUGAAGACUGAACGGGGAGAAAGGUUCCAUGUGAACAGCACUUGGACAUGGGUUAGUCGGCCCUAAGAGAUGGUUUAACUGCCUUGGGAUGUGGCGCUCCGCCACGGCCAUCGAAAGGGAAACGGGUUAAGAUUCCCGUACCUGGACGACGCGGAUGACGGUAACGUGCACCUCUGCGGGGACGCCGGGGCAGGUCCGGGAAAGAGUUGUCUUUUCUUUUUAACAGCCCGAAGGCCCUGGAAUCGGAUUAUCCGGAGAUAGGGCUCAGAGGUUGGUAAAGCAUCGCACGUCUCGCGAUGUCCCGAGCGCCUGCCACGGCCCUUGAAAACCCGCAGAGGCGGAAUCUCAUUCACCGAUGUCGCCAGGCCGUACUCAUAACCGCAUCAGGUCUCCAAGGUGAGCAGCCUCUAGUCGAUAGAACAAUGUAGGUAAGGGAAGUCGGCAAAAUGGAUCCGUAAGUUCGCGAUAAGGAUUGGCUCUGAGGGCUGGGCAGCGGGAGCCCUGCUCGGAUGCACGACGCCGCGGUUGGCCUGCCGGCGCCCCCUGGGUAAAGGCGGGCUGCCGACGGCGGCGCGCUGACGGGCAGGGAGGGGCCCUCGGGUCCCACUUCCCCCUGCAACGAACAGCCGACUCAGAACUGGUACGGACAAAGGGAAUCCGACUGUUUAAUUAAAACAAAGCAUCCCGACGGCGCUAACGCGUGUUGACGGGUUGUGAUUUCUGCCCAGUGCUCUGAAUGUCAAAGCGAAGAAAUUCGACCAAGCGCGGGUAAACGGCGGGAGUAACUAUGACUCUCUUAAGGUAGCCAAAUGCCUCGUCAUCUAAUUAGUGACGCGCAUGAAUGGAUUAAUGAGAUUCCCACUGUCCCUAUCUACUAUCUAGCGAAACCACAGCCAAGGGAACGGGCUUGGAACAAACAGCGGGGAAAGAAGACCCUGUUGAGCUUGACUCUAGUUCGACUCUGAGAAAUGGCUUAAGAGGUGUAGAAUAAGUGGGAGCCCGUUGCCAGUGAAAUACCACUACUUUUAACGCUAUUUUUCUUACUCCGUGGCGUAGAGGCGGCCUUCCGGCCUCUUUUUAGCUCCAAGCGUCGGUUUUUCCGGUGCAAUCUAAGCGGAAGACAGUGUCAAACGGGGAGUUUGGCUGGGGCGGCACAUCUGUUAAACGAUAACGCAGGUGUCCUAAGGGUUGCUCAGCGGGAACAGAAAUCUCGCGUGGAACAAAAGGGUAAAAGUGACCUUGAUAGUGGGACUUUCACGUCCACCUAAUGUGAGAGCACGGCCUAUCGAUCCUUUAGCCUGUCGGGGUUUGACGCUAGAGGUGCCAGAAAGUUACCACAG
rnacentral:rRNA from 1 species